rnacentral:rRNA from 1 species
GACGAACCGAGCGAACGUUGUUCGGAAUCACUGGGCUUAAAGGGCGCGUAGGCGGGUGCUCAAGUCCGUGGUGAAAUCCCCCGGCUCAACCGGAGAACUGCCUCGGAUACUGGAUGCCUCGAGGGUGGUAGGGGUAUGCGGAACUAUCGGUGGAGCGGUGAAAUGCGUUGAUAUCGAUAGGAACUCCGGUGGCGAAGGCGGCAUACUGGACCACCUCUGACGCUGAGGCGCGAAAGCCAGGGGAGCAAACGGG